AUUCUGGUGCCCUGCCGGAGGGGUGAUUCGGACACGGUGGGCUUCUUCAUCAACACCAUGACCUCUCCGGUGAUGCGUGAGUAGUUCACCAUAGACCUUCGGGUCCAUAGCUAGUAGCUAGAUGGCUUAUUCUCUCUCUUGGAUAUUCAAUACAAAGUUCUCCAUGAUCUUCAUGGAGAUCUAUCCGAUGUAAUCUUCUUUUGCGAUGUGUUUGACGAUAUCCGAUGAAUUGUGGAUUUAUGAUCAGAUUACCUAUGAAUCUUAUUUGAGUUUCUUCUGAUCUCUUA
rnacentral:lncRNA from 1 species